UUGGAGGGCAAGUCUGGUGCCAGCAGCCGCGGUAAUUCCAGCUCCAAUAGCGUAUAUUAAAGUUGUUGCAGUUAAAAAGCUCGUAGUUGAAUUUCGGGGUUCUACCGUUGGUCGGGCUAUUGUCUGUACUGGCGUGUAGAAUUUCUACCUUCUGGGGAACUAUCAUGUUAUUAAUUUAGCGUGGUAGGAAACCAGGACCUUUACCUUGAAAAAAUUAGAGUGUUCAAAGCAGGCUUAUGUCUGAAUACAUUAGCAUGGAAUAAUAAAAUAGGACGGUGGUCCUGUUUUGUUGGUUUCUAGGAUUGACGUAAUGAUUAAUAGGGAUAGUUGGGGGCAUUAGUAUUCAAUUGUCAGAGGUGAAAUUCUUGGAUUUAUUGAAGACUAACUACUGCGAAAGCAUUUGCCAAGGAUGUUUUCAUUAAUCAAGAACGAAAGUUAGGGGAUCGAGGACGAUCAGAUACCGUCGUAGUCUUAACCAUAAACUAUGCCGACUAGGGAUCGGACGAUGUUAACUUUUCUUGACUCGUUCGGCGCCUUACGGGAAA
rnacentral:rRNA from 1 species